rnacentral:rRNA from 1 species
GACGAACGCUGGCGGCGUGCCUAAUACAUGCAAGUCGAACGCACUGACGUCGACAGAAGGUGCUUGCACUGGAAGUUGAUUGACGUGAGUGGCGGACGGGUGAGUAACACGUGAGUAACCUGCCCUUAAGCGGGGGAUAACAUUUGGAAACAGAUGCUCAUACCGCCUAAAAGUUGAGAUCACAUGGUCUUAAUUUGAAAGACGGCCUUUGGCUGUCACUUAAGGGUGGUCCCGCGGCGUAUUAGCUCGUUGGUGAGAUAAUAGCCCACCAAGGCGAUGAUACGUAGCCGACCUGAGAGGGUAAUCGGCCACAUUGGGACGGAGACACGGCCCAAACUCCUACGGGAGGCAGCAGUAGGGAAUCUUCCACAAUGGACGAAAGUCUGAUGGAGCAACGCCGCGUGAGUGAAGAAGGUUUUCGGAUCGUAAAACUCUGUUGUUGGAGAAGAACAGGGACUAGAGUAACUGUUAGUCCUUUGACGGUAUCCAACCAGAAAGCCACGGCUAACUACGUGCCAGCAGCCGCUGUAA